GCCUGGCUGGCUCAGUUGGUGGAGCGUGUAACUCUCAAUCUUGGGGUUGUGAGUUUGAGCCCCACGUUAGGUG
rnacentral:tRNA from 1 species